UCUGUGUUGCUCUUGUUCUCUCCAGUCAUUCGGAACAUGAAGCGCUCGCCGGUGUUCCCUGUGACUUUGCUCUGGCGGAUGUAGGUGUACGCCGCCGGCGAGUUUCAGCCACCUAAGGAAUUCCCAACAGAAGGGCCGAGCCGAGGCAACUCGGAUUUCCCUUUAGGUUUGCCUCCUCUCCGGCUUUGAUGCCUCUUAAUAAAAAGUAGCACAUAAAGAUUUAUUAAGCACCCAAGCUGAAAAAUAUUCCAGUUAUUUUGGCCCGCUGUCCAGAGACGCCACUAGAAAUCUCACAGGUUUGAGACCUGCAACAGGAUUUUGUUUUCUCUGGGCGUCCUUGAACAAAACAGUGAACCCGGACGUGUUCUCUCAUUAAAAAUAUUAAGAGCUUGAAAAGCUUCUUAAUCCUCCACACCUCCUGCCAGGUGUAGCUGCUGUGGAUCCGAUGCAGCCGCGGGCUCUUCCACGUGACAUUUCCAAACAAAUAAAAGCUUGUCUCGUGUUACAGACAGGCAGUGUAGGAGGCGGAUGGACACCCAUGCUGCUUUGCAAUCUGAGCAGGAUUUCCAUCUGACCGCACAUGUUAACCCUGGAUUACUCGACACCUUCUUGGUCAUGUUCAGAUUUUCAAGACACACCGCACCGCAGAGCCACUGUUGCCUUGCUUUUGAAAAGUAGCGAGGCAGAAUAAUCCAUAUCGCUGCGGUAAAGU